GCUAACUCACUUAGCUGCUGUGCUAGCGAGUCCAACUUUUAGUCGAUUUUUCGACAAAAACUCAAAAAAUGCUGUACCAUCGACGUCAUACCAUCACAACAAUAUCAAAAUCAACAAAAGCAAACAUCAAAAUCUACUUAAAGCUUUAUCAAGGCCUGACUUUAUUUCAGGACGUUAGAAUUUAAAAAAAAACAAACAUACUUUAAAGAAGUUUCUCAAUAUUUCAAGUAGUUAAAAGUUUCUGUAAUUAAAAAAAUCCAUCAUAAAUGAAUCCAAAUAUAGUUAAAAUAUCAUUAUAAUAUGAUUUAGGUAGAUAUCUGUAUAAAGUAUUUUUAUUUAUAUAUAUACAUAUAUAUCUUCCAUAAAUUGAAUUGCCGUCUUAAUCUCCAAAGGAAAGACCGAUUUGGAUUUGGAUUCGGUGCAUUCGCAACGCGUUCAUUUGGGCGUGCGAAAUUAAAACGGCUCGUUAAUUUCCUCACUUCGUGGCACGGGUUGCGGGGGGUCAGAUGUGAAGCACCAACCCGGCGACAACAUCGGGUGCCACAUUUCGGUGGUCUUGAACAUCCAUUGCACCUUUGCGCAACAGCCGCUUCUCCGCCGAGAGGUCCUCGCGGUGCACAAAGGCAGCUUCCGAGAGGGCAGCGUCAGCGCGAGAGGCGAGAGAAACCACCUCCGGACCGCGUCCGACCGUUUCGACUCGAAACCCAGCGUUGUUUUUCCAAAAGUUCAUAAAAGAGGCUUCUGAGAUGGAGGCUACUAACAGCGAAGAUCAAGGAAGCCGGACUAGUGACAAAUGCUGCCAGACUGAGACACUUCAGGCCUGCUGUUGCCAAACAACAGAAACCCCUACAUUCCUAUUCUUACUAUGUCAUGAUUUGUCAUUGCAAGUUAAUCAAAAGCAUAUAUUAUAUUUUUUUUUCUGUAUUGUUUUUUUCUGAAAGUUUCGGCUGAUUUUUGGUAAACAACGCCCACUUUUCAAUAUCCAAUGAAUUCUAAAUGGAUAAACUUCUGCCUACAUUCUUUUGUUGUUGAAUAUCCUGUUGCACUCAGAAAUACAUCCCAUUACAAAAGUAAAAUGAGUUGAGA
rnacentral:lncRNA from 1 species